GUGCUCACUUUGGCAGCACAUAUACUAAAACUAGAACAAUACAGAGAUUUGCAUGGCCCCUGUGCAAGGAUGACAUGCAAAUGCAUGAAGCAUUCCAUUUUUCU